rnacentral:rRNA from 1 species
CCUACGGGCGGCUGCAGUAGGGAAUAUUGCUCAAUGGGGGAAACCCUGAAGCAGCAACGCCGCGUGGAGGAUGAAGGUUUUCGGAUUGUAAACUCCUUUUGUUAGAGAAGAUAAUGACGGUAUCUAACGAAUAAGCACCGGCUAACUCCGUGCCAGCAGCCGCGGUAAUACGGGGGGUGCAAGCGUUACUCGGAAGCACUGGGCGUAAAGAGCGCGUAGGCGGGAUAGCAAGUCAGAUGUGAAAUCCUAGGGCUUAACCAUAGAACUGCAUUUGAAACUGUUAUUCUAGAGUAUGGGAGAGGUAGGUGGAAUUCUUGGUGUAGGGGUAAAAUCCGUAGAGAUCAAGAGGAAUACUCAUUGCGAAGGCGACCUGCUAGAACAUAACUGACGCUGAUGCGCGAAAGCGUGGGGAGCAAACAGGAUUAGAUACCCGGGUAGUC